GAUGAACGCUAGCGGCAGGCUUAACACAUGCAAGUCGAGGGGCAGCGCGAUGUAGCAAUACAUUGGCGGCGACCGGCGCACGGGUGCGUAACACGUAUGGAACUUACCCUUUACUGGGAGAUAGCCCGGAGAAAUCCGGAUUAAUAUCCCAUAAUAAACGAGGUGGCAUCACUUUGUUUUGAAAGCUCCGGCGGUAAAGGAUGGCCAUGCGCACGAUUAGCUAGUAGGUGAGGUAACGGCUCACCUAGGCUACGAUCGUUAGGGGGCCUGAGAGGGUUAUCCCCCACACUGGUACUGAGACACGGACCAGACUCCUACGGGAGGCAGCAGUGAGGAAUAUUGCGCAAUGGAGGCAACUCUGACGCAGCCAUGCCGCGUGCAGGAAGAAGGCGCUACGCGUUGUAAACUGCUUUUAACCGGGAAGAACCCCAGGACGUGUCCUGGGUUGACGGUACCGGAGGAAUAAGCACCGGNUAACUUCGUGCCAGCAGCCG
rnacentral:rRNA from 1 species